rnacentral:lncRNA from 1 species
GUUAUCUUCAAACUCUCCAAACUGAGCUUGGAAUUUGCUCAGGCAUUAUAGAGUUUUGAUAUAUAAGAGAAGGACAGCUAAUGACCCUGUAAAUUCCUAAUAACAUUGUGGCCACUCUUGCAGCUUGCAUAUAACAAAAUGAAACUUGGCAUAAAGAUGUACAUCAGCAAAUGUCCACACAAGUAUUUAUCAACCUGCUGUUUGAAAUAACGUCUGAAUUACAGAAGACUUAUUUAGGAAGAAUUUGGUGUUUUAUCAUCGUCUGUCCUCUGAA